rnacentral:rRNA from 1 species
CCUACGGGUGGCAGCAGUGAGGAAUAUUGGUCAAUGGCCGGAAGGCUGAACCAGCCAUGCCGCGUGAAGGGCAGGGACCUAUGGGCGUUAAACUUCUUUUGUGCGGGAGCAAUAAUGGUCACGUGUGGCCAGACGAGAGUACCGUACGAAUAAGCAUCGGCUAACUCCGUGCCAGCAGCCGCGGUAAUACGGGGGAUGCAAGCGUUAUCCGGAUUUAUUGGGUUUAAAGGGUGCGUAGGCUGUGGGGUAAGUCAGCGGGGAAAUGCCCCCGCUCAACGGGGUGAAGUGCCAUUGAUACUGCCUUGCUGGAAUGCGGAUGCCGUGGGAGGAAUGUGUGGUGUAGCGGUGAAAUGCAUAGAUAUCACACAGAACACCGAUUGCGAAGGCAUCUCACGAAUCCGCGAUUGACGCUGAUGCACGAAAGCGUGGGUAUCAAACAGGAUUAGAUACCCCGGUAGUC